rnacentral:rRNA from 1 species
GAUGAACGCUAGCUACAGGCUUAACACAUGCAAGUCGAGGGGCAUCAGGAAGAAAGCUCGCUUUCUUUGCCGGCGACCGGCGCACGGGUGAGUAACACGUAUCCAACCUGCCCUUUACUCGGGGAUAGCCUUUCGAAAGAAAGAUUAAUACCCGAUAGCAUAAUGAUUCCGCAUGGUUUCAUUAUUAAAGGAUUCCGGUAAAGGAUGGGGAUGCGUUCCAUUAGGUUGUUGGUGAGGUAACGGCUCACCAAGCCUUCGAUGGAUAGGGGUUCUGAGAGGAAGGUCCCCCACAUUGGAACUGAGACACGGUCCAAACUCCUACGGGAGGCAGCAGUGAGGAAUAUUGGUCAAUGGGCGCUAGCCUGAACCAGCCAAGUAGCGUGAAGGAUGAAGGCUCUAUGGGUCGUAAACUUCUUUUAUAUAAGAAUAAAGUGCAGUAUGUAUACUGUUUUGUAUGUAUUAUAUGAAUAAGGAUCGGCUAACUCCGUGCCAGCAGCCGCGGUAAUACGGAGGAUCCGAGCGUUAUCCGGAUUUAUUGGGUUUAAAGGGAGCGUAGGUGGACUGGUAAGUCAGUUGUGAAAGUUUGCGGCUCAACCGUAAAAUUGCAGUUGAUACUGUCAGUCUUGAGUACAGUAGAGGUGGGCGGAAUUCGUGGUGUAGCGGUGAAAUGCUUAGAUAUCACGAAGAACUCCGAUUGCGAAGGCAGCUCACUGGACUGCAACUGACACUGAUGCUCGAAAGUGUGGGUAUCAAACAGGAUUAGAUACCCUGGUAGUCCACACAGUAAACGAUGAAUACUCGCUGUUUGCGAUAUACAGUAAGCGGCCAAGCGAAAGCAUUAAGUAUUCCACCUGGGGAGUACGCCGGCAACGGUGAAACUCAAAGGAAUUGACGGGGGCCCGCACAAGCGGAGGAACAUGUGGUUUAAUUCGAUGAUACGCGAGGAACCUUACCCGGGCUUAAAUUGCAGUGGAAUGAUGUGGAAACAUGUCAGUGAGCAAUCACCGCUGUGAAGGUGCUGCAUGGUUGUCGUCAGCUCGUGCCGUGAGGUGUCGGCUUAAGCGCCAUAACGAGCGCAACCCUUAUCUUCAGUUACUAACAGGUCAUGCUGAGGACUCUGGAGAGACUGCCGUCGUAAGAUGUGAGGAAGGUGGGGAUGACGUCAAAUCAGCACGGCCCUUACGUCCGGGGCUACACACGUGUUACAAUGGGGGGUACAGAAGGCAGCUAGCGGGUGACCGUAUGCUAAUCCCAAAAGCCUCUCUCAGUUCGGAUCGAAGUCUGCAACCCGACUUCGUGAAGCUGGAUUCGCUAGUAAUCGCGCAUCAGCCACGGCGCGGUGAAUACGUUCCCGGGCCU